rnacentral:misc_RNA from 1 species
UACUUUUUGCGAAACUAUUGUUGUUUACAAAUACACUAUGGCAACAAGCAACAUGGAGUCAAACUAAAGUAGUUGUCACACGAAACAGUUCUUCGUUGUUAGGAUGAUGUCUAUUCCCGAUCGAAGAAGAGAAAUGUAAUGAUUCGCUAAUGAAAUUUGUUAUAAUUUCAAUGCUGCGAUUUAUUUUAAUAUCGCUGCGAACUUAUUCAUUUUGUUGAAACUCGCUACACUUUAUUUUGCACAAUGGCUUCGAAUGUGGAAGCCACGCUACGUAAGACUGUUAGCACUAUGACGGAUUUCUUAUUCCCAGUUUCCAGAGAAAGCAUCAAAAAGAAUCAACACAAUGUUUUACGUUCUGGUCAUGAAUACGUAACCAGCUUACCUUUCCAGAUGGAACUGUACUUCAACGUCUGGUUCUUCCCAUUUUGGCUUGUUUCUGCUAUUGCUGCUCUUGCUUUCAAGUUUUCCAAACUCAGUAUUGUCUACAAGAUCCUCCUUGUUGCUGCUUACGUCAUGUUUGGUAUUAUUGAGAUUAUCCGGCUUUAUUUGGGUUACAUUGGAAACUUAAUGGAAAGAGUACCUGAGCUUGCUGGAUCUUGGCUUUUGACAUUACUGAUGCAGUUCCCUCUAAUUAUAUUUCUGCUGUUCAAUGAAGGCCAGAAAUUUCCUCUUGAAAUAGCUGUUCAUAUAGUCAUGUUUGGGUUUGUUCUGACCGAAAUGUUUUCAGGUUAUUUUGCUAUUCGUACCAUGAUCAACUACCAGAUGACACAGUUUCACUUGCGUCAGUUUUCUGACCUAGAGUUUAUUAUUCAAGACUAAAGGAAAAGACAAGAUAAAGAGAUUGUCUCAAUGUGUACAGACAAAGUUUUACACACCUCAUCAAAUUUAAAUAGCCCUUGUGUGUGUAUGUGUGUGUGUAUGUGUGUGUGUACAAACUAAUACAAUUCCUUUUUGUAGCAGUUAACAAAUCAAGACACAAGAUACUUCUGAUACUUUAAGGAAUAAAGUAUCUUAGGCAUUUAAUUGUUAGCAUCUAUGUUAUAAUGUUAUGACAAAUUAAAGUUAUUACUGUGAGCUCAGUUCUACACUUGUGUCUACUUAAAUAGUUAAAAUAAAGGAAGCAUUCCAAUGUAAGUUUUAAA